UAUACAUCUGGUGAAAUAUCAGUGUCAUUGUUAUUUUUGUGGCUACUCCAGCAAGUGACGUUGGUGUCACAUGCCUCGUGUUUACAAUGGCCCACGCAACAGGCGUCAACAUUGCGUGGAGUACAGAGUACAGUGUUGAUCAUCAAUCAAGCAACAAAGCCCUUUUUACAUCAGCAGGAAUUACUUUUACAGUAGCCUAAUCCCAGUACUCCAAAUAGCAAGCAGAAGCACAGUGGCCAGGAACAAUUCAGUAAGUACAUUGAAACUAAGAGGAGAACCAGGGUCAGAGGGGAGGCCCUCCGGUGGUCAACGCAUAUAGCAGACAAUGAAAGCCCUUACAAUAUUCGAUGAUUACAUUUCUCUAAGACAAGCAAUAGGCUACAUGUCCACCACCAAGUCAAAUCAAAUUUUAUUUGUCACAGGCGCCGAAUACAAGUGUAUGCUUACAGUGAAAUGCAUGUCAACGAUCUUUAUAAAGUUGUUUGAAGCGUCUAUGAUGAACAGAGACCGAAUGAGAAGGAAGGGAAGUUGACGUCCCUGGGAUGUCGUCACUUCAUUAUUGUGCGCACAUGCGCGUUCAUGUGAGGCGAGACCUUUUUCAAAACGUGUUUCAAGACACAGGAGAGGUCGGGUUGAAAUAUUACUGAUGUCUCACGUUAAAAAUGGACCAAAAGAUUGAUGCUAAACAACGUUUGACAUGUUUGAACGAACGUAAAUAGAUUUUUUUUUGUACUUUUCGUCGUGACUUUUCCCUCCCGCGCCGUACAUUUUGAGUAGCCUACCGAACGCGCUAACAACACGGAACAGCAUGGAGUUAUUUGGACAUAAAUUAUGAACUUCAUCAGAAAAAAACAACAUUUGUUGUGGACCUGAGAUUCCUGGAAGUGCCUUCUGAUGAAGAUUAUUAAAGGAGGGGUGCGUCACUUGAGUGGGUUGAGUCACUGAUGUGAUCUUCCUGUCCGGGUUGGGCCCCCCCCCCCCCCUUGGUUUGUGCUGUGGCGGAGGUCGGAGAUCUUUGUGGGCUAUACUCGGCCUUGUCUCAGGAUGGACCUGAGCCCUAGGACCAUGCCUCAGGGCUACCUGGCCUGAUGACUCCUUGCUGUCCCCAGUCCACCUGGCCGUGCUGCUGCUCCAGUUUAUUAUUAUUUGACCCUGCUGGUCAUCUAUGAACAUUUGAAAAUCUUGGCCAUGUUCUGUUAUAAUCUCCACCCGGCACAGCCAGAAGAGGACUGGCCACCCCUCAUAGCCUGGUUCCUCUCUAGGUUUCUUCCUAGGUUUUGGCCUUUCUAGGGAGUUUUUCCUAGCCACCGUGCUUCUACACCUGCAUUGCUUGCUGUUUGGGGUUUUAGGCUGGGUUUCUGUACAGCACUUUGAGAUAUCAGCUGAUGGUAAGAAGGGCUUUAUAAAUAAAAUUGAUUUGAUAUAUCUGUUCUAUAUCUAUAUGUGUUCUACAUCUAUACAUGUUAUAUAUCUCUAUCUGUUCUAUAUCUCUAUCUGUUCUAUAUCUAUAUAUGUUCUAUAUCUAUAUCUGGUUCUUUAUCUUUAUCUGUUCUACAUCUGUAAAUGUUCUAUAUCUGUUCUUUAUCUAUAUAUGUUCUAUAUCUCUGUUUUAUAUCGGUUCUAUAUCUCUAUCUGUUUUAUAUCUGUUCUCUAUCUGUUCUCUAUCUGUUCAAUAUCUGUUCUAUAUCUCUAUAUCUAUAUAUGUUCUAUAUCUCUGUUUUAUAUCGGUUCUAUAUCUCUAUCUGUUUUAUAUCUGUUCUAUAUCUAUAUCUGUUCUAUAUCUCUAUAUCUAUAUAUGUUCUAUAUCUCUGUUUUAUAUCGGUUCUAUAUCUCUAUCUGUUUUAUAUCUGUUCUCUAUCUCUAUCUGUUCUCUAUCUGUUCUAUAUCUAUAUCUGUUCUAUAUCUCUAUCUGUUUUAUAUAUGUUCUAUAUCUCUCUGUUAUAUAUCUCUAUCUGUUCUCUAUCUCUAUCUGUUCUAUAUCUAUCUGUUCUAUAUAUCUAUCUGUUUUAUAUCUGUUCAAUAUCUAUAUCUGUUCUGUAUCUAUAUCUGUUCUUUAUCUCUAUUUGUUCUAUGUCUUUAUCUGUUCUAUAUCUGUUCUAUAUCUCUAUCUGUUUUAUAUCUAUAUCUGUUCUUUAUCUCUCAGUUCUAUAUCUGUUCUAAAUCUAUAUCUGUUCUAAAUCUAUAUCUGUUAUUUAUCUCUCUGUUCUUCAUCUCUAUCUGUUUUAUAUCUGUUCUCUAUCUCUAUCUGUUCUCUAUCUGUUCUAUAUCUAUAUCUGUUCUAUAUCUCUAUCUGUUUUAUAUAUGUUCUAUAUCUCUCUGUUAUAUAUCUCUAUCUGUUCUCUAUCUCUAUCUGUUCUAUAUCUAUCUGUUCUAUAUAUCUAUCUGUUUUAUAUCUGUUCAAUAUCUAUAUCUGUUCUGUAUCUAUAUCUGUUCUUUAUCUCUAUUUGUUCUAUGUCUUUAUCUGUUCUAUAUCUGUUCUAUAUCUCUAUCUGUUUUAUAUCUAUAUCUGUUCUUUAUCUCUCAGUUCUAUAUCUGUUCUAAAUCUAUAUCUGUUCUAAAUCUAUAUCUGUUAUUUAUCUCUCUGUUCUUCAUCUCUAUCUGUUUUAUAUCUGUUCUAUGUCUAUAUCUGUUCUAUAUCUCUAUCAGUUCUAUACCUGUUCUAAAUCUGUCUGUUCUAUAUCUCUAUCUGUUUUAUAUCUGUUCUCUGUCUCUAUCUGUUCUAUAUCUAUAGCUGUUCUAUAUCUCUAUCAGUUCUACAUCUGUCACGCCUACUCCUGCUCUUCCUCCCCCUCUCUCAGCCUGCUUGCCCAGCGCCCAUGUCUCGGCCGACUCACCCAGGUGGGACGCCUGGUGGCACCCCUAGAGGGGGUACUGUCAUGCCCGUUCCCACUCUUCCUCCCCCUUGAGGGUGCCAGUCUCUCCAGGAUUACGCAAUCAAGCCACCAUUAGUACGCACACCUGCCUUUCCCAGUCACGCGCAUCUGCGCUCAUUGGACUCAGCUGAACUCUAUUACUUGUGUUUUUGCCUUCCCUUUAAAUGUCUGUUCCCAAACUCUGUUCCCUGCUUCAGGAUUUAUGUUUGUCAUAUGUCCUUGUUUACCCGUGUGCUAACGCUGUUCCUGUCGUGUUCUAUGUCCGUCACUGAUUAAAUGUUUGACUCCCCGUACCUGCUUCUUCUGUCCGGCGUCACUCCUUACAACAUCUAUAUCUGUUCUUUAUCUCUAUGUGUUUUAUAUCUGUUCUAUAUCUAUAUCUGUUCUAUAUCUUUUCUAUAUCUCUAUCUGUUUUAUAUCUCUAUCUGUUCUAUAUCUGUUCUAAAUCAAUAUCUGUUCUGUAUCUAUAUCUGUUCUAUAUCUGUUUUUUUUUUUUAUCUCUGUCUGUUCUUUAUCUAUCUGUUUUAUAUCUGUUCUAUGUCUAUAUCUGUUCUAUAUCUCUAUCAGUUCUAUAUCUGUUCUAAAUCUGUCUGUUCUAUAUCUAUAUCUGUUCUAUAUCUGUUCUUUCUCUAUCGGUUCUAUAUCUGUUCAAUAUCUCUAUCUGUUCAAUAUCUCUAUCUGUUCAAUAUCUCUAUCUGUUCAAUAUCUCUAUCUGUUCUAUAUCUCUCUGUUCUAUAUCUCUAUCAGUUCAAUAUCUCUAUCAGUUCUAUAUCUCUAUCUGUUUUAUCUCUCUGUUCUAUAUCUAUAAAUGUUCUUUAUCUCUAUCUGUUUUAUAUCUGUUAUAAAUCUAUAUAUGUUAUAUAUUUCUAUCAGUUCUACAUCUCUAUCUGUUCUUUCUCUAUCGGUUCUAUAUCUGUUCAAUAUCUCUAUCUGUUCAAUAUCUCUAUCUGUUCAAUAUCUCUAUCUGUUCAAUAUCUCUAUCUGUUCUAUAUCUCUCUGUUCUAUAUCUCUAUCAGUUCAAUAUCUCUAUCAGUUCAAUAUCUCUAUCUGUUCGCUAUCUCUCUGUUCUAUAUCUAUAAAUGUUCUUUAUCUCUAUCUGUUUUAUAUCUGUUAUAAAUCUAUAUAUGUUAUAUAUUUCUAUCAGUUCUACAUCUCUGUCUGUUCUAUAUCUCUAUCUGUUCUAUUUCUGUAUCUGUUCUGUAUCUCUAUCUAAUCAACAUCCUACCUGUGUUUUAUCGCUAUCUGUUCUAUCUCUAUAUCUGUUAUACAUCUAUAAAUGUUCUAUAUCUCUAUCUGUUCUAUAUCUAUAUAUGUUCUUUAUCUCUAUCUGUUUUAUAUCUGUUAUAAAUCUAUAUCUGUUAUAUAUCUCUAUCAGUUCUAUAUCUCUGUCUGUUCUAUAUCUCUAUCUGUUCUAUUUCUGUAUCUGUUCUAUCUGUUUUAUAUCUGUUCUAUAUCUAUUUCUGUUCUAUAUCUCUAUCUGUUCUAUAUCUAUUUCUGUUCUAUAUCUCUAUCUGUUCUAUAUCUGUUCUAUAUCUCUGUCUGUUCUCUGUCUCUAUCUGUUUUAUAUCUCUAUCUAUUCUAUAUCCUACCUGUGUAUAUCUCUAUCUGUUCUAUAUCUAUAUCUGUUCUAUAUCUCUAUCUAAUCUAUAUCCUACCUGUGUAUUUCUCUAUCUGUUCUAUAUCUCUAUCAGUUCUAUAUCCUACCUGUGUAUAUCUCUAUCUGUUCUAUAUCUAUAUAUGUUCUAUAUCUCUAUUUAAUCAAUAUACUACCUGGGUUUUAUCACUAGCUGUUCUAUAUCUCUAUCUAAUCUAUAUCCUACCUGUGUAUAUCUCUAUCUGUUCUAUAUCCCACCUGUGUAUAUCUCUAUCUGUUCUAUCUCUAUCUAAUCUAUAUCCCACCUGUGUAUAUCUCUAUCUGUUCUAUAUCUCUAUCUAAUUUACAUCCUACCUGUGUAUUUCUCUAUCUGUUCUAUAUCUCUAUCUAAUCCAUAUGCUACCUGUGUAUAUCUCUAUCUGUUCUAUAUCUCUAUCUGUUCUAUAUCUAUAUCUGUUCUAUAUCUCUAUUUAAUCAAAUACUACCUGUGUUUUAUCGCUAUCUGUUCUAUAUCUCUAUCUAAUCUAUAUCCUACCUGUGUAUAUCUCUAUCUGUUCUAAUCCUACCUGUGUAUAUCUCUAUCAGUGCUAUAUCUAUAUCUGUUCUAUAUCUCUAUCUAUUUUAUAUCCCACCUGUGUAUAUCUCUAUCUGUUCUAAUCCUACCUGUGUAUAUAUCUAUCUGUUCUAUAUCUCUAUCCGUUCUAAUCCUACCUGUGUUUAUAUCUAUCUGUUCUAUAUCCUACCUGUGUAUAUCUCUAUCCGUUCUAAUCCUACCUGUGUAUAUCUCUAUCAGUGCUAUAUCUAUAUCUGUUCUAUAUCUCUAUCUAUUUUAUAUCCCACCUGUGUAUAUCUCUAUCCGUUCUAAUCCUACCUGUGUAUAUAUCUAUCUGUUCUAUAUCUCUAUCUGUUCUAUAUCCUACCUGUGUAAAUCUAUCUGUUCUAUGUGGUUGUUGUGAUCUAUGCCAUGUUUUCUGUAAAUGUUGAUGGUUUUAUGUCUUUGACAUAGUGCUCUUGAAUGCUGGACACAUUUCCUGUAAAAGGCCUAAUAAAUGAACUGAACUGAUUAUGGGGCAUGAUCACUGAGCCAACCAUCUGUAGUAGGCUGAGAUACCUCUCAAUUGGCUUUGCAACAUUAAACAAGGCACAAAGAGACUUGUAGCUGUUGUGGUCCAUUUUAGCUAAAUUGGUAGAGCAUAGCGCUUGUAACGCCAGGGUAGUGGAUUUGAUUCCCGGGACCACCCAUAUAUAAUAUGUAUGCAGUAUGACUGUAAGUCUCUUUGGAUAAAAGCGUCUGCUAAAUGACAUAUUAUUAUAUUAUACAGUGCCUUCAGAACGUAUUCACACCCCUUGACUUUUUCAAAAUGUUGUGUUACACGGUGGGAUUAAAAUGGAUUGAAUGUCAUUUUUUGUCAACGAUCUACACAAAACACUCUGUAAUGUCAUAGUGGAAGAACAAUGGACAUUUGUUAAAAAUGUAUAAAAAUAAACAACACUAAUAUUCCGUUUUUCUGGGUAAGUCGCUAAAAGAUUUGCACA
rnacentral:lncRNA from 1 species